rnacentral:rRNA from 1 species
CCGGCUUACCAACCCGAUGCAAACUGCGAAUACCGGAGAAUGUUAUCACGGGAGACACACGGCGGGUGCUAACGUCCGUCGUGAAGAGGGAAACAACCCAGACCGCCAGCUAAGGUCCCAAAGUCAUGGUUAAGUGGGAAACGAUGUGGGAAGGCCCAGACAGCCAGGAUGUUGGCUUAGAAGCAGCCAUCAUUUAAAGAAAGCGUAAUAGCUCACUGGUCGAGUCGGCCUGCGCGGAAGAUGUAACGGGGCUAAACCAUGCACCGAAGCUGCGGCAGCGACACUGUGUGUUGUUGGGUAGGGGAGCGUUCUGUAAGCCUGUGAAGGUGUGUCGUGAGGCAUGCUGGAGGUAUCA